CGUAGGGAUACACUGACAUAAAGAAAAGAUCAUUGCUCUCUUCUAUGGAGGAUUACACUACAUUACAUCUUCAAACUGGCAGACCUAUGUGGUCACCAGGGUUUGCUUUUACUAUAUUGAAAAGGUUUAUGCCUGAAGAGAAGCUUGCAGAUGUAAAGGGUGCUACCCUAACAGCUGAUGGAACAGGGGUUGUAUUUGAUGUUCCUGCAGCAGAUGUUGAGGACUACAUUCAAGCUUCUGAGAGUGCUGCG